GAUCCUGGCUCAGAGCGAACGCUGGCGGCAGGCUUAANACAUGCAAGUCGAACGCCAUCUUCGGAUGGAGUGGCAGACGGGUGAGUAACGCGUGGGAACGUACCCUUUGGUUCGGAAUAUUCUCGGGAAACUGAGAGCAAUACCGCAUACGAUCUAAGGAUGAAAGCGGGGGAUCGCAAGACCUCGCGCGACUGGAGCGGCCGAUAUCAGAUUAGGUAGUUGGUAGGGUAAAGGCCUACCAAGCCAACGAUCUGUAGCGGGUCUGAGAGGAUGAUCCGCCACACUGGGACUGAGACACGGCCCAGACUCCUACGGGAGGCAGCAGUGGGGAAUUUUGGACAAUGGGCGAAAGCCUGAUCCAGCCAUGCCGCGUGAGUGAAGAAGGCCUUCGGGUUGUAAAGCUCUUUCGGCUGGGAAGAAAUCGCACAGGCUAAUACUCUGUGUGGAUGACGGUACCAGCACAAGAAGCACCGGCUAACUACGUG
rnacentral:rRNA from 1 species